GUGGGGAAUUUUGGACAAUGGGCGCAAGCCUGAUCCAGCAAUGCCGCGUGCAGGAAGAAGGCCUUCGGGUUGUAAACUGCUUUUGUACGGAACGAAACGGUUCUCUCUAAUACAGGGGGCUAAUGACGGUACCGUAAGAAUAAGCACCGGCUAACUACGUGCCAGCAGCCGCGGUAAUACGUAGGGUGCAAGCGUUAAUCGGAAUUACUGGGCGUAAAGCGUGCGCAGGCGGUUUUGUAAGACAGAGGUGAAAUCCCCGGGCUCAACCUGGGAACUGCCUUUGUGACUGCAAGGCUGGAGUGCGGCAGAGGGGGAUGGAAUUCCGCGUGUAGCAGUGAAAUGCGUAGAUAUGCGGAGGAACACCGAUGGCGAAGGCAAUCCCCUGGGCCUGCACUGACGCUCAUGCACGAAAGCGUGGGGAGCAAACAGGAUUAGAUACCCUUGUAGUCC
rnacentral:rRNA from 1 species